GAGAUGGUGAAUUGGAAGCCGGAUGUGUGUCCAGUACGAUAAAAUCAACAGGAAAAUAGAACUUGUCUACUUGGACCAACACAUCUUCGAUAAUCCCUCUAGGAACCUUCACUGACCUGUCAGCUAAUUGUAAGGUCACAAUUGUUGGCUUCAACUCACCCAAACCGAGUUGCUCAUAUACCGUAUAUGGCAACAAGUUCACACUCGCUCCUAA
rnacentral:lncRNA from 1 species